UCUGAACGCCUAGCAAACUGUAUAGAAUGUUAGGUGCUAGUACGAACGUCCCUGAGUUGGAUGGCCCAGCGUCAAAUGAUUGGACUAUACUUUCCUCACCUAUCUUUGUUUGUUGGAACUUAGUGUAUUGACGCCUUAGAUCCCGAAGUGCGAUCACUUCUGCAGCACUCUCGCGACAUAGAAUGAUGGACAAGAAGGUAAACGUAGUACCUUACCGACUUCAGCAUUUGAACGACCCUAGUUACCGACAACGAACAACAACGAUUGGACUCCGAUCGAAUCCUUAACCCAGCCAGCGACUCAUGGGAGUCGACUCUUACGAAUCAAUCGGGACAAAAUCGAUGACGAUUGACUGUAGAGCGGACUGUGUAACCGCCCGCACCACGAGUAGUGCCUUAGGACGUGGCAAGGAAUGUGAAAAGAAGGACCUUGUUGGUGAAAGGACGCAGGACACCUUUACAGGCAACAAUACUAGAGGCAACAGUCGCGGCAACAUCAAGGUAUUUGUGAUCGUAGCUUACAGUAUGGAAACGAAAGUGACGACAACCAAGGGAACGACGGCAGUAUUGGAAAUUCUCGUGACGAAAACCACACUGGAAAUGAAGCUCAUGGAAGGACAUUUAGUAUUGGCAUAGGCUAUACCAGACGUAAUAGCACCACAAUAGCUUGGAUGGGUAGUUAUUCGCUUCGUCUCUGUUCUGGUAACCCUGAUGCUUAUUGAAACCGAACCUGUUGUGGAGUCGGCUGAUGCAAGUUAAUUGAAGCCUUAUAUGUUCGCUGAGAUGCAAACUCGACCUUGGGGGACAGGUGUUCGACAUCGACCUUCCUUCCACAACCCUUGAUGGUUGCAAUAUAGUAGUUAGUGUGGAUUGGUUAACCAGAGAUCACACAGAUACACCAGUGCGGAGAAGACCUUGUGUGGAGAAUCGUUAUUUGCUCUAAAACGUCAGAGUGGUGCAAAGGUUAGCGCCAUUUCAGCUAUGAAGGCCAGAAGUGUCUACGGAGGGGCUACUCUGCUAUACUAGCUCUGACGUGACUUCUGAAGAGUUACCUGGUUUACUUUCACAUCGUUAGGUGGAAUUUCAGAAUUGACCUUAUGCAAAUCCUGAUUUCCUUCUGGGAUACAGCAAUCCCUUGGAUUCGCUGGAUACUAUCACAGAUUCAUCACGGGAUUUUUGAAGAUUGCGUAGCCUUAACCUCGUUAGCACUGCGGGGAGCGGUGAACUCUUGGGAAUCAAAUUAGGAGGACGUCUUCUCAGCUCUCUCAGCUUAGGGAAAUGGUGUAGGCAAAGCUCAUGGGCCUCGAUAUCCUAUUCACCUGAGUUUUGAUAGGAUGCAUUGAAACCUGAAGACCAUAUGUGGGUGACCGGGCCUGAAGGCCCACAUAGCAACGCAUGAGAGCGAUGAUUGACUUGUGGGAAAGUCAAGGUGGGAUGCUUGGGAAGCAUGGCGAGCUUAACUGACGUCACGAUGGACCAUUCAACAGCCUGGGAGGAAUCGGUAAUUUAACCUACAAACUCGAGUUACCCUACGGAUCGGAUAACAUACGCGAUGUCACUUAUGUUUCGGAUCUAAGGUAGUGGUUGUCUAGUGAAACACGUGCGAUACCUCUACUGGGGGAAUUUACCGAACAUAUGGACCAGGAAGUCGAGGGUCGUUAACAUAGUCGUAAUCUCGAGGGUGAGAGUUCGUAAGAACUCAAGACGUGGACCGGAGUUCACAUGGGUACGCGAGAAGCAGAUGAAGCUCAAGUAUCCUCAACUCUUUCCAAAUGACCAAUCUAAUACUGGUAAAACUGGUGAAUUUCGGGACGAAAUUCCUUUUCAAGUUGGGGAUGAUGUGGCACCUGAGCAAAACGUGCAACAAUCUUGAUCUAUCACUUCAUUUCUCUGUGCUUACUUGUCAAAUUUCGGGACGAAAUUUCUUUCAAGUUGGGGAUGAUGUGACAACCCGAACUUUCAAAGUCAGUAUCUCUUCGUCGCGUGAUCCUGUUUCUUGUAUUCCUCUUUCAUUUCCGUUCAACAAUAAAAAAAAUAAUAAUAAAUAAAUAAAUAAUAACAAUAAGAAUUACACAUGUGGUGAUAAUAUUUAGUAAAUGUUUAAUGUGUUUGGGUAUUUGUCUAUAAUUGGGCCAUGCUUGUGACAAUAAUAGGAUUGGGCAGCCGCCCCUUGGUCCACAUAAAAAUCUCGGUGUUUGUUGUUGGGCUUGAGCCCAGUAUCAGCCAAUUAUGAGGCACCGCCAAUUUAAUUAUAUAUAUGUGCACGUAACAUGAUUAUAUUAUGAUUCCCUACUUAAAACCAAACCCUACCCUCCCGUCAAGAUUGCGAACGGCAGAAUACUCCUUCCCCCAUCGAAGUAACCCUGCAUUCUUGAGACGUCACUUGUAUAUUGCAGUUGAUUGGACGUGUUUGAUCAAUUGCUAACGAAGUAAUUAACCAUACCGAGCAAACUAAGGAAGGUAACAUGGUAUUAGUUAGUAGCGCUAC